UUGAGUUGCAACUUUCAUGCUUUAGACUUUCUCAAAAACAGACAUUGUCGCGUGUAACCACCAGAUAGUUCAUUCCUUCCAUGCACGGAAUGCCUUCUGUACCGCUUCAAAAUCUCCGAUUCUGUUAAAUGGCCUUCCCUUCUUCUAAUCAACCAAAACAGUAAUGUUUCGUGGAAGAUGACCAAAACAAAAACAUUGCUUGCGAACUAAUAUGAUGCAAAUUUACCGAAUUGAUGCUGAUCUUAUUUCCCGUUUUUCAUAACUGAUCGAUGUUUCAUUGGAGGGUGAUUGGUAAUUGGUAUGGCGGAUGUCGAUAUCAGAAUUGUAGUGCAGAUUAAACCGGUUUUAAAAAACUAUCUGCAAAUUUGUGAUGAAGAAUUUGUCACUAAAAGGCAUAUUUCCCUGGUCUGUUUUGUUCUUCGCUCACAAGCUACAAUCCCUUACAACGACAGACUAUUGCUUUAUGUGUUCGAGUAUUGAGUAUUGGUUAUUCUACUUUUAACGGAAAGAGACGGACCGACGACAGAAACAUCUACAUUCGUUCACAUCAACUUCGCACUCUCUCUAACUUAAUUUGCUCUCCAUGGACGAUACUAUUUGAUCUUGACCUUCUACACUACCUAUUAUCACUAUCAACCGACGCGGACAAGCUGAGAAUGCGGUUUGCUUCGAGUGAAUACGCGUGAUGCCGUAUUCGAAUUUUGGAACGUGCUUUUGGACUUCGUUAAAUCCGUUGCAGCAACUUCAUUGACCUGGGCAUUUCUACCACGGGCCACACUGUCUUUGGAUAGAGAUCUUACUCCGGCACCGGUCAUGGCGUUCUUAUAAUCAAACCGGAGAUUACGCCAGAUGAUAUUGAACUUCCUGCGGUCCGAGAUUGAACGAGUCAUCGAAUGGAAAAUUUUCAUCAUAUCGUGAAGAUAAUCAGUAAAUUUUUCCCCCCUAGACUGCCGUCUCUCAGUUGCUUGUACUUCCAGCUGAAAGUCCAAAUCGGGUGGCAAAAAUUCCCGUUUUAAUUCUUUUUUCAGCUCAUGCCAAUUCCGAAAAUCCCUAUUCUCGGUUCCCUCAAUGAACCAGUCUUUUGCGCGCCCCGCAAAAAGAUGAAUGGCACUCCUGUAUAGCUCUUUCUCUGUGAUGUCCUCAGAGAUGCAUCUCAUUUUAACUUCCUUUAGGAACUCAGUUAGCUUUCUUCCCUGAUCUUUUCCAUCAUACUUUAAUCUCCAUUCAGCUACCGGAAUUCUCUUCAAUUCCCUCUUUCUUCUACCUUCUCUCCUCCCUCUCUCCCUUUUAUGUCCUACAUUGGACUCUAAGCUACUAUCCGAACUAGAGUGAUCGGAGCUUUCGGUUACUGAUGUAACCUCAGAUGCAGAUGAGAAGCUUUGUCUGCGAUGUCUUUUUUUCGACUCUCUUUUGAACGACUUUUUCCCUAUUUUCGAUGGAGCUUUAUCCUUUUUAGAUUUCAAUUUCGAUCUUCCUAUGUCAGUACUAUUAUCGGAGCUAUCUCCCUUUGAGUCUAGCUUUAAACUAUUCAAAUUGAAAUCAAAGCCUA